AUGACGUCAAGUCCUCAUGGCCCUUAUAGGUGGGGCUACACACGUCAUACAAUGGCUGGGUACAAAGGGUUGCCAACCCGCGAGGGGGAGCCAAUCCCAUAAAGCCAGUCGUAGUCCGGAUCGUAGUCUGCAACUCGACUACGUGAAGUCGGAAUCGCUAGUAAUCGUGGAUCAGAAUGUCACGGUGAAUACGUUCCCGGGUCUU
rnacentral:rRNA from 1 species